UGACAACACCUGUGUUGGCCAAUGGUAAUUUCAUGCAUUUGCUAAUGUAUUUCUCACAGAGUUAGGAAAUCAUGGGGUUAUUCGUCUCAGUCAGGAAAAUUGAAGACCCGUGGUUGUCUACAAUGGCAUGCUCAAUGGCAAGGUGAAUCCUAGCUUUCCUGAUGGGAGGACUGUGGACCAGAAGGAACUUCCUUCUCAGGGCAACUGGGGGAACUGGUUCUGGAGCGCAGGUAAGAGCAGGCAGGCCUCAGGGUUCCAGGGUGAGUCAGAAGAGGAAACUCUGAUAUCUGAAAUGGGACCCUGGGUCUCACACACUGACUGAACAGCUGCUGGGUUACACUGUCUGCAGGGACAAUGCCUGGAUGAAGCCAGUGCUGCAGCCUGCACCCAGUAGGGCUGGAGCUCCAUGAGACAAGUUGUACAGGUGCCCGCCUGUCCUGUCCACUGCUAUAACCUCAGGUGUGACUAAUGACUGCGUGCCUUCUGGAUGCCGGGUGCUACAGACAGACAGACACCUGCAGUUCCUUCUUCCUCAUCGCUUGUGAGUUUGCUUAACUGUCACCUCAGUAAGAGCCCCGACCCUGGCCACACUCCUCAUCAUCUCUGAGCCCCACACUCCUGUCCUGCCUCCUAACAGUUUGCUACUGGGCACUCAGCACUUUCU
rnacentral:lncRNA from 1 species